GGGGUGCGACCUUGAAAUGCUCAUCAAAUUGCUGGCUCCAUGUUGCCUCUCCACUGUCAUCAUACUUGUCUGCAUCAAGAAUAGUGUAGGCACUGCUGCUGGGGGAGGGGCGCCGGUUGAGCUCCGUCGGGCAGCACUUCGAGCUGCUAUAAAAAUAUCAUGAUCAUCUUUUGGUGAAUACAAAGAUGUUUGUAACCUCAUAAGCAGAGCUCUGUACUGCUGCUUGUAUAUUGAGAGAUACUACAGGAAUUUAUACACUCAUAGCUUAUCUUUCUGAUAACUGUCAUGCAUAUAUUUCAACUAAAUUAUGGUUAUUGUUUAUGUUUGUCAAACUAAGCCAUUGAUAGGAUAAUCAAAAGUAGUUGUUGAUUGACAAAGCUAGACAACUUACAGACAUUAUACCAGCUAGGAAUUUAUUGAUGGGACAAAAUUAUGUCAUGGUUUAUAUACAGGUGAUCGAUACUUCAGGUAGCUCACUACUUGAUUCCAUAGAUCAUACACUAACAAUUUUUCUUUGGAUACAGCAAGGAUCAUACCCCACCCACGCGGCGGCACGACGCAGAAGGGCUACAUGGGUUAAUAGCGGCGUGUGCAAUGGAAGGACGCCUACGAGAACAAGCUCGCCGAGGUCUUGGAAUUCCAACCUAGGUAAACAAGUGAGCUCACUUUAACAGUUUACCCUUUUUUGGUGAUGUGGGCUAACUCAUUAAUUAAGGGCUACUCAGCUCUGUAUUUUUCUCUCUUUGGUAAUAGAAAUCCCCCUACAUCGCCUCUGUUCGAUUUUGGUAGCUAUCCUUGUUCUAGAUCAUAGGGUUGUCAUCUUCAUAUGUCAUAUGAUAUAUAAUUGAUGCAAAUUGCA
rnacentral:lncRNA from 1 species